CUGCCCAUCCCUGAGUCUAACGGACUUUCGGAGAAUCUUGAGUACUGCGCAUGCGCAUCAUUUUGUUCUGUAACGGUCGACUUCCAGCAGACGGACACGGAGUAAAAGCAGCUGGAGGAGAGACAACCUGUGCAGCAACAACAAGACAACAAUGAUUAUAAGCAGGGGUGGGUAUUAAAUUAGUUUCUGACUUGUUCAGUACCAGUAGAUAUUUAUAAGGUCCUGGACUAAUGGUUCUGCUAUCGGUAUUACCAUGACAACAUAAAUUGUAAUAAACAUGAUAUAGCAGAUUAAUUAUCAUUGGCUUCAUGACAGCCAGUGUCAAAACCAGCCACCUCACAGUUUCAUGUAAUGCUUACCCAUAAAGCUAAGUGGUUUCUUAAUAUGAUUAAUCUGUCAUGUUCACUUCAUGUAAAGUGUUGCCUAGAAUUUAUUAUUUGGUGGAAUGUCUCUUUGUUAGUUACCUGGUUUGCUCCGCUGCAGUGCUCUCUCUGUUCUCAACAUCGUUUUCCAGAAACUGGAUGAGCUGGUCGACUUUCCACUCACCACUGGAGUCUUGUCAGCUCCAUGUCUUUUGGUAUAAGCUGUAGUAGCACUGGACAUAGCAUGCAUCCAUAUGUCUCACCAUGAACUACAAGUCCAGGCUGCAAAUUUGGAUUUCACCUUACGAAGAAUAUUCAUGAUUUAAAGGCAUGUGAAAACGCAGAUGGUAAGGGCAAAGAACCCAGCAGAAAACUAAUGGAGGACAAAGAGCCCAGCAGAAAAAAGACAACAAAUAAACAGGUAAAUGCUCCUACACAUACACAUGUCACUAAACACCAAGUUACUUAGGGUGCUUUCACAACUGCCUCAUUUAGUUCGGUUGAAUCGUACCAGAGUUCGUUUCCCCCUUUGGUGCGGUUCGUUUGGGCAAGUGGCACCAAAGGCGGACCAAACAAGCGUACCGAGACCUGCUUGAAGAGGUGGUCUCGGUACGCUUUCAAACGAACUCUGGAGCGGUUCUUUUGUGGUGAGAACGUGAUCCGAUCUCGAAUAGACCCAACUGCAAAAAGUAAUUUUUCAUUUCACAUAUAGGAAGAAUAUCAAUUGAAAGUGAUCUUCCCUAUGCCCUAUAUUGCCUUCGAAGAUCAUAGCUUUUAAUUGUGCAGCGAGUUGCACAAUUGUCUCAUUGUGUGGCCGCUAAAAAUAAAUUUGGAGAAUAGAGCAAUCAAAAACAUCCUUUUAUUUACAUCUGGAGUGAAAGUUUAAGCGGUGUCCUCUUCCUGACGUGCCCUUCAAGGGCGCAAAAGCAUAGUUUGAAAUUCGUCCAUACUCUUUCUCGCCAGGCUUGGGUGUGCUAGGUUUUUAAUAGCCUGACGUUAUCCUACUCAGUUCUAGUCAGAAUUUGAGUCCGAUACCGUUCCAUUGGGCUGUGAUUAUGGGGCGUGUCUCAACUGAACCAGGAAAAAAAAAUGCCUCUGAUUGGUUGGAGGUCUAUCCAAUUGAGUGCAGAGCCAUGGAGUUCAGAUUCAAAAGGUUGAACACGCGAGCUCUUUGGUGACGUGGUUGAUUACGUUACUUUUGUUCAGCUGUCCAUCAUCUUAUAAAGCCCGCCCUGACAAAUUGAUUGGUCUGAACUGUGUCUCUUCGGGCAUAGUUGCGCCUCAACGGAGCGAACACCAGACCAAACUUCCUGUCCUCAAAUGUUGUGGGCGGGGCUAAGUUUGGCUGGCAUCCAGGCUAGGUUUUUAAUAUUAGGGGCAUUUUUUUUUAUUAAGGGCUGAUUUAAAUAUUUUUAAAAAAUAUGAUUGGAUUUUAUACUAACCUUAAUACAGUGUUCCACUAUAACAUCUGUGUGCAUUUACUUUUGUGCAUGACUGCAUUUUCCAUUAAUGCAACAUCCACAAUAGUGCUUAAUUUGUAAAACAAAAGGUUCUGGAACGCAAAAGGCCUAUUAGAGCAGAGGGGUGACGUGAUGAGGCAAGUGCAGGUCCCGGAAUGCGCAAAAAAACGGUGCUGAAAACUGCAUGCUAUGUGCUCAAAUACGCCCUGUACUACACUAAUCUUUGGCCGUGUUUACAUUUAUGUGUCUGCCUUUUAAAACGCAUUACUUUUGCCACGUUUGCGCCUUUCAUUUAGAAUACUCCGUUAGAUUACUCCAUUAGAUUAAAUAGUUUGUCUUCAAUGUGUGUUAAGAACUGCAGAUAAACAAGGGAUGCAUUUUUUUUUUUAGAGUGGAUAGGAAGGCGUCUUGUAUUGGUCCUGCACCACAGUAUGACUAGAUGUGGAUGUCAUCUAUCAGUUAAUGUACUUACCUUUUGACCUUCACUCUGUUCCGUGCCUUGGUCAUGGAAAAUUCUUAAUGAACUUGAAAAGGCGCUAAAACGCAGAUGAAAAGAUGGGGCAGAGCCGAAGCCUGCCACUUGGCUGGAUGGGGGGCUUGAAAGACUGGGCAGAGUCAAACCUCAAACCUGGCUGGUUGGGGGGCUUGAGACUUUUGGCUAAGCCCUUGACGCCAGGCCUGAGCAAAGCACGCAAGCACUUAAUGCUGAUUGGCUGCCUUUGCUGCCACUCAAAAGAAUGUAAACUUCUUUCGGUGGGAAUGUAAUGGAAAGUUUGCACAACUCUUACACACUCACAGCCUGGAAGAGCAAACCUCGGAACGUGACUCGCUGUUUCGUGUGAACUUCCAAUUUGAAUUUGAUUCGAUCCUCGAUUAUCUCCCCAUUAAUUGACUAAUAGCAAUUUAUACAUGCUAAUUUACGUAUCUGAAUAAAAUAAAAAUAACAAUAAUGAUGAUGAUAAUAAUAAUAAUAAAAUGGCAGUUUUUGAUUGGAUGCUUUAGUCAUCAACAAAAUUCCCACAGUUCCAUUUGUGUUAUGCCAUAGUUUGGACGCGUUUAUUAUUAUUCUGUUUUGUGGAAAAAUGAAUAAAAAUAAAUCAUAUUUUGCGAGGACGUAUUUUAUUUUUGUUGUCCCAGCCCUAGUUGUUUAAAUCAAUAAUUAAUCAAUAUUGAAUUUACUUUUUUUGAAUUUACAAUUUUCACCAACUGUGACUGUAAGGCUGCUUUGACACAAUUUGCAUUGUAAAAGGCGCUAUAUAAAUAAAUGUGACUUGACUAAGACAAGGUAAAAAUGGUUUUUCAUUCUGUCACCAAAAACUGUAAUAACAUGCCCAUUUGGGCUGGUUUGGCAACACAUGGGCUCGAACAUGAACAUUGAGGAACGUUAAGUGAUGAGUCAAGAUUCUGCUUAUGGCAGUUGGAUAGUAGUCAAAGUGUGGAGAUGAUGUGAAGAACACUAUGCUGAUGCUGCACCUGUAGAGAAACAUCUUUUGGUGGAGUCAGUGUGAAGGUUUAUCUAGUUUAAAAGUUGAGUUUGUUUUCAUUGAUUUCUUUGUCUUUUUCUAGUUCCUCUGGAAAGCAAAAGCAAAAAAGCAUCAAUGGUCUCCCAUAAAGGGUUGCCGCGGUCAUGAGACAUUUUGGCGAACACAUCAAAAAAGGAAAACUGGCCACUAUGAUUGAAUGCCAGCAAUGCAAGGAGGCAGAAGAUCCUGCUCUGGCUCGUCGCUCUAUUCUAAACAUAAGAGACUUCGUAAGAAAUCGUGGUGUGACUUUGAAAAGAAAAAAUAAUCCUAGCUAUAAUAUGGAAAUGUGAUGAAUUGUCCACCAGUGAUGUCAUCUCCACACAGUCCAUUUAGUUCUAAUUUGGUUUAGUUUGCCUGUUAAGUUCUGUUUCCGGUGUUCCUUUUUUGUCCUUUUCCAGCCACUAAUCAGUUACCAUUUAAGCUCCUCUUUAGUUCUCAUUUUCUGUCCAGUUUUUGUUAUACCUGCAGUUUUGUUGCUGUCUGCCUGUGGAUUUACCGGAGUUGUUUUAUUUAAAUAUCCACAUUGAUUUUGAAACCGGAGCGUUUUCAUCUACAUUAAAACAUUUCACAAAGGGAACUGAAGACUGUCUUUCCUCUCUCCUGAUUGUACUCAUCUACAUCCUUUAUAAACUAAUUCCUUUAUACACUUGUGAUUACAGCCAUGUGAGAUGUGUUGGCCCAAGGGUCCAGUAUCUCUACAGCGCUAUAAUUCAGAUUGCUCCUCUGUCUCAUUGCUUUCAAUCACUUUGCCAUGCCAUGUGAUGUGACAUUUUCUUUUCAGUAUUUACAGUUCCCGCGGAAUCUUAAAAAGUCUAAAAUUCAGAAAGUGAAGUUUAAGUUUUUAAAAUUUUUUUUUUUUUUUUUUUUUUUAAGUCCUAGGUCUUAAAUUAAAUUUGUCCAGGUUUUAAAUUUCUUACCUCCGUUCAUUCCUGAAAAGUGCUGUUCACAGAAAAUAAAGUGGUAAUUUAAAACGUGGAGGCAGAAACUGUAUGAUAGGUGGCCUCUAAAAUGGAAAGUUCCGCACUUCGUACGUCACUGGAUCACACUUCAAUCCAGUUUUAAUUUUUUUUUUUAAAGAGUAUACACAUGUAGGCAAUCAUAUUUCACGCAAAUCGUGCCAUAAACUAUAUUUCAGUUGUUGUGAUCUGACUGUACAUUGUGGUUUUGCUGAAAAACAAACCUUAAAUUUAGUUUAGUAUAAGUAAAAAUCCUUUCUGGGUAAAUUUAACCAACUAGCCCGUGGCUUACCUGAGCAUUUUGCAAACAUAGAGGAUGCAGAAGCGAAAAAUCAACACUGCUUUAUUGAAAAUCAACUUAAACAGUAGGGCCAUCGAGUCAUCAUGAGCCACCAGCAAGUCAUCUUUAGUGUUACAGAGUUUUCACUUAGGGUAAACAGCAUUGAGGUAAACAAAAGCCUCCUGUUUACUGCCUUGACUUUAAUCUGCUCUCUACUGCAAUGCACUCUUCUCAUUCAGCUCUCCACAAAACGGCUGCGACUGGCAGUCCGAAAGCAAGACAGUACUGUAAUAGACUAUGUAUAGUCCAAAAGGGCAAUUUUCUUUUUACGAACAAUUCAAACUUUUUUGAUAGUACAUUAUUUGUUUGUUGUACAUCUUUUUUGUUGUACAUUAUAAACAUGCAUAAACAUUAUGGGGUAGUUUCCUGGACAGGGAUCAUCUUAGCCAAGUUUAAUUAGGAAAUAUAACUAGUUUUUAACAAACAUGCCUUACUAAAAACAUUACUUUUUUUUUUUUUCUAGAACUAGAUUAAUUUUAAUUUCUAUUCACAAAUAGUAUGGAUUCUGUUGCUCUAAUACUUGUCUGUUUAAGGUUCCAUUUAUCCAUGUUUGACCCUUUAAUACACAUAGUUUACAUGUUUGUGUAUGUGUAUGGCCAUGGUCCUGACAACUAAAGUUGGCCCUGUUAAUUACUAUUUGUGUCAUGGGUGGAGCUAAUUACCUUAUUAUGGUUUGUCCUCUUAAUACAGCAUGGUGUCAGGUUCUUGUAUUUUGAGUUCUGAUGUGUUUAUUCAC